AAUGAGAGGGAUUUAUACAAAACUGGGGGUAUAAUCCCUUAGUCUAGACAGGGACAGAUCCAGGGUUGGAGAAAAGUACAGGGAAGGGUAUAUUCUGGUUCAUUAUGAAAAGGGGAGAUAUAACCUCUACCCCCUGAAUCUGCCUGCACUGCUAGCAAUAGUAUUCAUAUAAGGUUGCAACAGAAUCCUCCUAAAUUAUUGAAAAUAAUCAUUCUGCACUGACAAUAAUAUUUCGGUGUAAAUUAUAUAAAAAUUACACCCAGUCAUCCGAUACUUAACGCCCUCAAGGUGAUAUCUUAAAACAUUAAUUUACAUUUUUGUA
rnacentral:lncRNA from 1 species